rnacentral:rRNA from 1 species
GACGAACGUUGGCGGCGUGCUUAAUACAUGCAAGUCCACUGAAGCAGUGGUAGCAAUAUCGCUGUGGAGGUGGCGCACGGGUGAGUAACACGUAGGUAAUCUGCCUUCAGGUCUGGCAUAACUCCGGGAAACCGGGGCUAAUAGCAGAUGAUGCAGCGGCUCGACAUCGAGACAGCUGUUAAAGCUAUGGCGCCUGAAGAUGAGCCUGCGUCUGAUUAGCUAGUUGGCGGGGUAACGGCCCACCAAGGCAACGAUCAGUAGCUGGACUGAGAGGAUGAUCAGACACACUGGAGCUGAGACACGGUCAAGACUCCGACGGGAGGCAGCAGUAAGGAGUAUUAAUCAAUGGGAGACAUCCUGAGGCAGCAGCGCCGCGUGAGAGACGAAGGGCUUUUGCUUGUAAACCUCUGUAGUGGGAGAAAAAAAUCCCAAUCUUUGAGACAUGAUGGUAUCUCAAAAGUAAGCCCCGGCUAACUACGUG